GGAGGAGGCAAGCGUUGUUCGGAAUCACUGGGCUUAAAGAGCGUGUAGGCGGGGCGGCCAGUAUCUUGUGAAAACCCUCGGCUCAACCGAGGAACUGCAGGGUAUACUGCCGCCCUUGAGUCAAGCAGGGGCAUCUGGAACCCUAGGUGGAGCGGUGAAAUGCGUUGAUAUCUAGGGGAACGCCCGUGGCGAAAGCGGGAUGCUGGGCUUGUACUGACGCUGAGACGCGAAAGCGUAGGGGAGCAAACGGGAUUAGAUACCCCGGUAGUCUACGCUGUAAACGAUGCGCACUAGGCUCGAGGCUUCUGACGAACUUUGAGCCGAAGCAAAAGUAUUAAGUGCGCCGCCCUGGGAGUACGGCCGCAAGGCUA
rnacentral:rRNA from 1 species